rnacentral:lncRNA from 1 species
UAGGGCUUGGGGUUUUAGGGUUUAGUCAGUAUUAUAACUGCAACUGUGGUGCACCAUAUAUACAUGAUGUGGUAGCCAAAAUCAUAUUGAACUCAAAGGCAACACAAGGAGAUCAUAGGAUAAUGGCAAUGAACACAAAAGGCUACUGCAACAUCUAGACAUACUUUUAAACUCUGAUUAACCAACAGUCCAACACUCAUGAGAAGUGGACUCGUAGAAUACACCAAUUCAUUGUUUACAAAGUUUGCAAUCAAGACAGCACAUACCACAAAUGUAUUGAUAUCUGAAAAAUCAACAAUAUACAAUAAGCUAUUUUCUGUACAUGCAAGGCUAUGGUUGUCUGCUAGACUGCUACUAAGGUCCAUUUAAAAGAUGUAGACAUACAUAUGAACUUGCCAUUGGUGAGACUCUACAACUGAUAUAUUGUGCUAAAUUGGUAGGAGACAACUCAUAUGCAGAUGCAAACAAUAAUUUCACAUGAACCGAUUAACUUGAGCAGUUUAACAGAUUAAAUUAAAUUUGUGCAACAUCUAAAUACAUAAUCAAAUGAUAAUUCGUAAGAGUGGUAAUCAUUGUACCAUUCGCUUUAAAGCACUAGAUUAAAUGACAGAAAAAAAAUACUUUGACAGGAU